UACGUAGGCAGCGAGCGUUGUUCGGAGUUACUGGGCGUAAAGGGUGUGUAGGCGGUUUUCUAAGUUUGGUGUGAAAUCUCCCGGCUUAACCGGGAGGGUGCGCCGAAAACUGGGAGACUAGAGUGCGGGAUGGGAGAGUAGAAUUCCUGGUGUAGCGGUGAAAUGCGUAGAUAUCAGGAGGAAUACCGGUGGGGUAGACGGCUCUCUGGACCGCCACUGACGCUGAGACACGAAAGCGUGGGUAGCAAACAGG
rnacentral:rRNA from 1 species